GUGAGGGAAGGACACACCUCCUUCCUCCGAAGGACUUGGAAGACUUUGUAUCACCCCUCCCCCGCUUUUCCGCCCGGCUCUUCUUUUGUUGUCAAGUCCUUUUGAUAAAUGGUGGGGCUGGGAGCGCUGGGAGCCUGGAGUCGGUCUGUACCGCGCAGGGCGGGGACCGAGGCUGGAGGCCGGGUUCCGACCGGGGCGCACCCGGAGGGGAGCCGAGUACGCGCGGGGGUCCGGACUAGGACCUGCCCUCGCGUGCUCGUCCCUUCCCCUCGAGCCACCCCACUCACUUCCCCCUUCUGUCUGUCUCCCACUCCGCAAGGGUACCGAGAACUUUGUGGGAAUCGACGGAUUUCUCUGGCAGUCGUUUGCACUGAAUUUAUCCGAAUAAAGCCCACUCUCAGGCAUCCAGCAGAACCAGCUCUCCACUGGCAAGUACUGCGUAGCCGGAACUUUCCUCGAUGCAAGUUUUCAACCGAGAUUGUUGACAGCUUUGGGAAGACAGCAGGCUUGUGUGAGUGCUCUCGGGUGGGGUGGGCUGGAAGAGGGCAACCGGGUGCCCAAGCCUGGCCCAAGGUGAAAACUCUUGGGAACCCCUCCACUCCACUCCUAUUUCUUCACAAUUCUUCGGCUCUGGAUGGUAAAAAGAAAGAAAGAAAAAGUUUCCAAGUUGCCACGGACACCCAGCAUGGAUCUCGCUAGGGGGCAACGGGAGGGGGGCUGGCUUUGGAAAAGUUGUAGAAAGCUUUCCUCAAAAGCGUCACCGUAUUAAAGUCAAAAAAACCCUUAGGACCUGUUCCUUCCUUGGGACAGAAUCAGGAAUCAGGCUGGGCAGCUCCCUGGCCAGUUCUCUGCUCUCGCCUCGAACAAGAGGUUAAAUAACCACCCACCGCCUGAGCUGCAAACUUGCAGCUCUGCGCUGCCAUCCUCGGACAAGGCCUGGACACAGAGGGGCCGGCUCGGCCCAGCGCUGGGAGAGGUUGGCACGGGGUGGGAGGGUGAGUGGGGUUCCCACUUGGCUAUUCCGACGCUCAGAGCCGAUCGCCCAGCUCGGGGCAGCCGGCACUUUUCCCCGGGAGCUGCGGAUUUGGGGAGCCCGGCGAAGGUGGAAAAUUGCGCGCGCGGACUGGCGCGGGGGCGGCUGCUCGUCUCGCCGCGGGGCCUGUCGCCGGGCUGGCCGCGGCGGGUGAGUGAUGGGGGCAGAGAAGGGCGCCCAUAAAUCGUGGGUGUCAGGGCGAAAAACUCUCUUUAUUGUCUGCGUGAUGGAUGGGCCCGGGGACGAGACACCAAAUACUUCGUAUCGCCUUUAAAUGGGAACACAUUUUCCGCGGCCAUAAUUCAUGUUUUUUAAAUAGAAAGUUUGAAAUGUUGCCUAUAUUUCACCGGCCCUGACAUAUUUAUGAAUCGCUCCUUGCAUGCAAAUAUCAUUAUUUAAAGCGCCAGAGAGCGCGGGGGAGGGGAGAAGGCGCGGCCCCCGGGGCGUGGGGGUGGUGAACCGGGGAAAUAUCGGUGGAGGGGGGACAUCUCCCUAAAGGCCAGAGGAUGGAGCGCGGGGCAAAGCCGUGUUUGGAAGCUGAGCGCGCCCUGGGGCUUCUCUCCUGUCGCGACAGCGCGCCGCCACGGUGGGGAGAGGGGUGUUGUUGCGCGGUUUGGGGUGCAAGACUAGCCCCGGUCUCCUGCCUCUACACCAGGAGAUAUUUUGGGUCCCUCUCCGAGGACUGGAUCCAGACUGAAGCCACCUUUUCCAAGAAGAAAGUGGGAAUAAAAAAAAAAAAGAAUUUAACAAACACAACCCAACAUCUUUCAUGUUCUUUGCUAUUGCAUCGAUUUUAUUGAUUUUCAUUCUGCAAACCUGGGAUUCUGCGCACCCGGACCAGGCGGCUGUGAGAAACCGGUCACCGCAGGGGGUAGGUGGGGGGCUAAUCCUCGGGUGCCACCGCCCCAUCCGCCCCACCCCACCGCCUCACCAUCUCCCAGGCACCACGGAGACUGCGCCAGACGCGGGGACACAGAGGACCCGGCCCCCCCAGCCCCAGGGCUUCAGUCCCGCUCCUUCUUUCCCCCAGUGCACAGCAGCGCUGCCAGGGUCGGCAUCAACCCUCCCGGACCCCCCUACUGUCAGAAUAAUCGCAUUGGGAAAAAGCCAGGCCCAAGCCGUCGCUUCUCCCCAGUCAUCCAGCCCGGGAAGCGCCUACACCUGCGCCCUUACUUGCCAAGACUUUACCUGUGGGGUCCCCAGCCGCGCCUGCGGCCGCGCAGAUAACAAAGAUAUGGUAGGGAGGGCGGGAGAGUGGGUGGGUCAGAGAGCAACACCCGAGAGAGCCAGAGGCGCCCAGGUGCGUCUGUGUGGACCCGAUGCUGGGGCCCCGACCGAACGGGCUAGCGGAGCCGAAUUUCACUGGGGAGAU
rnacentral:lncRNA from 1 species